rnacentral:rRNA from 1 species
AUGAACGCUAGCUACAGGCUUAACACAUGCAAGUCGAGGGGCAGCAUUUUAGUUUGCUUGCAAACUGAAGAUGGCGACCGGCGCACGGGUGAGUAACACGUAUCCAACCUGCCGAUAACUCCGGAAUAGCCUUUCGAAAGAAAGAUUAAUACCGGAUAGUAUACGAAUAUCGCAUGAUAUUUUUAUUAAAGAAUUUCGGUUAUCGAUGGGGAUGCGUUCCAUUAGUUUGUUGGUGAGGUAACGGCUCACCAAGUCGACGAUCAGUAGCCGGACUGAGAGGUUGAACGGCCACAUUGGGACUGAGACACGGCCCAGACUCCUACGGGAGGCAGCAGUGAGGAAUAUUGGUCAAUGGGCGAGAGCCUGAACCAGCCAAGUAGCGUGAAGGAUGAAGGCUCUAUGGGUCGUAAACUUCUUUUAUAUGGGAAUAAAGUUUUCCACGUGUGGAAUUUUGUAUGUACCAUAUGAAUAAGGAUCGGCUAACUCCGUGCCAGCAGCCGCGGUAAUACGGAGGAUCCGAGCGUUAUCCGGAUUUAUUGGGUUUAAAGGGAGCGUAGGUGGAUUGUUAAGUCAGUUGUGAAAGUUUGCGGCUCAACCGUAAAAUUGCAGUUGAAACUGGGAGUCUUGAGUACAGUAGAGGUGGGCGGAAUUCGUGGUGUAGCGGUGAAAUGCUUAGAUAUCACGAAGAACUCCGAUUGCGAAGGCAGCUCACUAGACUGUCACUGACACUGAUGCUCGAAAGUGUGGGUAUCAAACAGGAUUAGAUACCCUGGUAGUCCACACAGUAAACGAUGAAUACUCGCUGUUUGCGAUAUACAGUAAGCGGCCAAGCGAAAGCAUUAAGUAUUCCACCUGGGGAGUACGCCGGCAACGGUGAAACUCAAAGGAAUUGACGGGGGCCCGCACAAGCGGAGGAACAUGUGGUUUAAUUCGAUGAUACGCGAGGAACCUUACCCGGGCUUAAAUUGCAACAGAAUAUAUUGGAAACAGUAUAGCCGUAAGGCUGUUGUGAAGGUGCUGCAUGGUUGUCGUCAGCUCGUGCCGUGAGGUGUCGGCUUAAGUGCCAUAACGAGCGCAACCCUUAUCUUUAGUUACUAACAGGUCAUGCUGAGGACUCUAGAGAGACUGCCGUCGUAAGAUGUGAGGAAGGUGGGGAUGACGUCAAAUCAGCACGGCCCUUACGUCCGGGGCUACACACGUGUUACAAUGGGGGGUACAGAAGGCGGCUACCUGGUGACAGGAUGCUAAUCCCAAAAACCUCUCUCAGUUCGGAUCGAAGUCUGCAACCCGACUUCGUGAAGCUGGAUUCGCUAGUAAUCGCGCAUCAGCCAUGGCGCGGUGAAUACGUUCCCGGGCCUUGUACACACCGCCCGUCAAGCCAUGAAAGCCGGGGGUACCUGAAGUACGUAACCGCAAGGAGCGUCCUAGGGUAAAACUGGUAAUUGGGGCU